rnacentral:tRNA from 1 species
GGCCCCUUGGCGAAAUGGCAGACGCAGUGGGCUUAAAACCCGCGGCCUCUCGUGGGCGUCCCGGUUCAAGUCCGGGAGGGGCUACCA